UACGGGGGGGGUAAGCGUUGUUCGGAAUUACUGGGCGUAAAGCGUGCGCAGGCGGCUUUGCAAGACAGAUGUGAAAUCCCCGGGCUUAACCUGGGAACUGCAUUUGUGACUGCAUGGCUAGAGUGCGGCAGAGGGGGAUGGAAUUCCGCGUGUAGCAGUGAAAUGCGUAGAUAUGCGGAGGAACACCGAUGGCGAAGGCAAUCCCCUGGGCCUGCACUGACGCUCAUGCACGAAAGCGUGGGGAGCAAACAGG
rnacentral:rRNA from 1 species